GCCAACGUAGCAUAGUGGUUUAAGUGCUGGACUAGGACUCUGGAGACCAGGGUUCAACUGCUGGCUUGGCC